CACAGCCCUUCCCAAACUUCCCACUGGGACACACUGAAAACACAAAGCACUUUAUUGCAGGCUCUUCAAAAGGAAUGUGAGGAAAUCACAGGACUCGACACUUAGCAAUUAGAGAUAAAAUUAAUUACGACGUUUUUUUCUUUGAUGAAACAAAAUUCCUCUGGAAAGCAGGAAAAGGCAGAAAGUAAUCGAGCCCAUUUUGCUUGCAUCCCAGGAGUAAAAACAAUAGGAAAAAGUUGUAUCAAAAUCCAUUUUUCUGCUGGAAAAUGAGGCCAACAUAGUCAGAAGAUUGCAAUUAUUGAAGGGCAGUAUGGAAGGAUGAGAAGAGGAGAGAAAAAACAGAGAAGAGGGGUCAUUAGGAGAGGAAGAGAACAAGAAAAAUUGAGGAGAAUUCAGUGAGUAGCAGCCACAAGUGAGUGGCUGGGACUGCUCUGGUUUCCAAGGAUUUUAUAUAUAUAAAUAUAAAUAUAUAUAUAUAUAUAUAUACACACACACAUAUAUAUUUAUGUAUGUUAUAUAUCUGACUGAGAACUAUUUAACAGAUGUGCUGCAUCCCAACAAAAUCAGCACCUCUCCCUGUGUGCCCACCUAAGUGAAGCUGGAAGAAAAGAAACUCUUAAAUUUUUUUCCAGAGUCAUCUUCUCACAUCCUAAGCACAGUGACAGGAAACUAAUAGACAUGUAGAUCUUCAACCUCCCACCAAAUUAUUGGAAAUCUUUAACGUUAAAGUUGAUGGAAAGCUCUGCUUAGUAAUGAAUGAAAUGUUUCAUUUCUGGGCUCUUAUUGGCUGUGUUCCCUGACAAAAACAGAUGUAUUUUCAAAACAAGAUAAAACAUACAGUCCAUCUUUGCAAAGAGAGUAACAAAUGGAACUGGACUUGUAUCCUGGUAAAUAAUAGCGAUGUCAAAAAAGUGAUUAAGGCACUUGCCUGAAUUAUGCAGCUGUUUUACCACUUCAGCCUCUCUCACUUUCUCAAAAGUAGUCUCUGCAGGUGACCUCAAUCUAUCCUGACUGUGAAUCAGCCACAGAUUGAAAUCCUGAGCUGUGAUUCAUUGGCUUUUAUAUAAUAUGCCAUCCUCUGCUCUUACUACAGCAGAGUAUUGUUUUCUCCUUGUGUUUCUAUAGGACUUAUCUGUAGGAGUGGAUAAAGUUGGGUUUGGCUUUCACACUGUGUGCUAAACAGAACAGUUCCUAAGUGAAAAGAGAUAAAACUAAACACAAUACACAGCAGCCACGAUGGAGGGAAUGCAGAGAGAGAGAAGGAAAGCAGAACUCUGCUAUCACAGACAGCAAAACCUGAACUGAUCUGUCAGGCUCUUGGACAAGCCACACCAUUAUUCCCUUCCAGCUCCUGUUUUAUGUUUUUUCUCCCUAGCAGGCACUGUUUUAUGGCAUCUUUGAGAUGGAGGGUGGUGCUUUGGCAGCACCACCUCGCUGUAGGCUGGGGUUUGUAUGUAGAAAAACCAUAAUUCUCAAAGGACUUCCUUGGAAGAGGAGCUGGUUUGUUCUGCACCAUGGAAUACUGAUGGAUCAGGGCAAGAUCUGUGAUCCAAACAGAGCUGCUGGCAAAGGGAUCAGGUCACACUUUGGUGCUUUUGUGCACACAGGCAGAGCUGGCAGAGGGGUUCCCUCCACAGGAGCUCCUCUUGGCUCUGGGAAAUGGGAUGAUGCCCUCUGGAAUGUCAGCACAGAGGGAUGAUGAAAUGGUUGUUCUCCCUAAUUUAAACAACCUGGUUGUGGACUGACAGAGUGACUCUUGUGAAUAUGUGAGAUCCAAAUUCAAGCACUUUUUAAAUGUCUCAAUCAUUUUUAGAGAGCUGUAAAACAAGGCCUAAUGCUGCUUUCUUCAGCAGUAACGUGACUGUACAACACAGAUUGGGAUGUUAAUUAGCUCAAAAAGCUCUGAAGUGGGACUCCCAAAGUCCCUGUGGGAUGUCAGGUGUGUUCUAGCAGUGAUAACAAGUUAUUAUCAACCCAUCUUGCUCCAUGAUUGUGAAAGAUAUUCAUAAAACAGCUGUUUAGCUGUUUGCAGCUCAGAAUCCUUGGCACAACUGAGUCAACCUGUGCAGUUUUGGGGGUUACACAGCUCCUCACAUGCACAUACUGCUGGUGCAAGAAAGUUCCUGCUGCCAGUGGCACAAGGAGAUAAAAAUUCCAAAGUGAAAUCUUCAUUUCACGUUUUUCUAAUGGAAAAUUAAUUAGCAUUUUUCUUUCUACAAAAUAAAGUUACAUGUUAACUCAUUAUGACAAACUGCAACACAAAUUGAUUUUAAUUAGGACAUGAAUAUUUUAAGAUUAAUUUGCUGGAUAGAUCAACAUUUCAAAGUAAAACCAGAAGUGCUGAACAUCUGAGCAAAAAAUAAAAUAGUUUUCUUAAGAGGAUAAUUAGACCUGCUUAUGCUUUGAAAUCUGGCUAACGUUUCACAUAAAAUGGACAAAUUCACUGAAAUACGUUCAUUUUAAUAAAUUAAUUGGUGUAAUGUUUAGUUGACUAUACAGCACAGGAAAAAAAACCCCAGAAAACAUGGUUAUACUUAAUCUAUGUUUAAUGAUUUUGGGUAACUGCUCCCUGCAAUCCCAGCUUACUGCAAAGCAGGUCAUUGAAAGUGGCAUUCAAUUUUGGCAGGGAUGGUGACUUCACAGGGGUAGUGGCCACUACAAAUCACUUCUUUUAAAUAUCUGUGUAGAAACCUCCACUGCAGUAUGCAGCAACUGAGAGUGCUGAGUGAUUUUGUGGGUAUUUCUAGGAUGAAAAUGAAACCUGGAUUUAAAUAUGGAACUUUCAAAGGUACAGAAAGGUGAUGGGUGUUUGGGGGAGCUGAAGUUCCUCUUCACCUCUGAAAAUGAACUCACUUCUCUGCUUCACUGUAAAUUUCCUUUCUCCUGCACUUGUGUCCAUGGUUUUAGCUAUUCCCAGCCAGGUCCUGCACGGUGUAAAUGAGGUUUUGUGCACAACUGGGUGCUUGGGAUUGUUCACCUGAGCUGGCCUUUACCUGAACCGGUACCUCCCCAUCCUGCUGCAAAGAUCACAUGAAGGUGCUGUCAACAUUCAGCAAAUGAGAAUUUUCUCUUGGACUGUAUGUUCUCAGAGGAUGUCAGGCUCUUACCCCACUGCACAUUUCCAGCUGGAGCUUAGCUGACAGGUUGGUUGAUGAUGCAGUAGCUAUAAAACAACCUGGAUCAUUCCUGGAGACAUUUCUGCAGUCUUAAGAGCACUAAAGCAUCCCAGUGUCUCAUGUAAUCCUGAUUACACAGACAGAACAAGUUGGCUGAGUAUCACCUUCAGUAUCAUCCUCAGCUCUGCCUUGUACAGCCUAAAUUCUGUUUCUAAAUGAAUUUCUAAGAGAAAAAUGUGGAUGAUUUUGAGAACAAGCUUAGCAAGGUCUCCUGUUCACCAGGUAUUCUUGAACCUGAAUCCCAGAAAAGAGGUGGAAGGAAGCUGGAUUGCCAGGCCUCACAGAGGCAAGAGCAGGAGCAUCCACAGGAUCCCUCUGUGAUCACCCCAGUGGGGAGGAAAAUUUCUCCCCAUUAGAUCCUCAGCAAACAUCCUCAGGGAGCAGCCUGAUUCCCUGCCUUGCAAACUGGCCACAAGGUUUGCUCUUGUAGCCUGCAUGCCAACAGCUGAUAGAACUAAGCUGGGUUUUUUUCAUCUCAGAAAGGUCAGAAACUAUUAACUUCUGGAAGUUUUGCACUCUUCAGGUUUUCAAAUUUGUAAAACAUUUUCUUCCUCAUCUCCCUGAAGCUCUGAGCACCACAUUUCAGCCUUGGAGAGAGGUUUUACAGCUACACAGAUAUGCUGAAGCACCUGGAAAUUGGGGUUUAUAAUGGAAAUGCUUAUAGACCAUUAACUACAGCAGUGCUAGAGGUCAUUGUUAUAAUGGCUUUAAAUAAAAACUGUCAGCUGCAAAUUAUUUUUAGAGAUGAGUGUGUUCUAAUGUCAAGUGUAACUGGUGAAAUCAAAGGGGAUAUAUGAACUGGGCAUGCAGAAUGUCGAGGAGGAAGAGGAGGAAGAAGAAGAGGAAGAAGAAGAAAGAAGAAAUGCUGACCAAGAAAGACAAAUCCACUUCUUGUUUACCUGGGAAGAUGGUUGGUGUAGUUUGGAUCAGUGAAUUAGGGUCCCUAUGGGGCAAAUGCAGCUUCCCAGAUAAAGCAGGUGAGAGGACUUUUAUCUGCUUGGUACAUUUUAAUAUGUAGCAGCAGAGCAUCAAACAGGAGUUAUUUUGGGCAGCUGUGUUUCUUUUUCUGGUAUAUAAGAAAACAUUGCGUUGUUAUUUUGAUGCCAACGCUCAUCCACUUGUCAUUAUGUGAAGGGUGGUGGCUGACUCUGUUUAAUAGAUCUGACUUCACUGCAAAUCUGUGUCCUUCCAGCUUUGGUUUGUAAAGGUGCUGCUCCUCCUUGCAGGUCACCUGUGACCUCCAGGUGCAGAUCAGAAGAAGAAACACAAGGCACAGCUCUGUGCAGGAGAGCUUUGACUUCUUGAUGAAGUUGCAUUUUCAGACUUUUUUACCUUUAGGAAGUCACGGGUUAAAGCAGCUCAGAAACUGUGGCUUUGUCUGUCUGGUGUCAUAAAAGAGCAUUUCUACCUGCCUUGCCUCUACCAGCUAUGGAAAAUCUUACUUCUCUGGCACAAGGGUCCUCUGUAUCCCGGUGCACAGUCACAGGUUCCAUCCUCAGGGGAGCAGGAUCCCCCAUUCUCACAGCUGCAGGAGAUGGAGCAGUUGGGUCCCCAGCGGCCCUGGGUGCAGAUGUUGUCACAGUGGAUGCCUAAGGAUAAAUAAAUAUAUAAGGAUAUAAAAGAUAUAAGGUAUAGAAGGGUAAAUAAAGCCACACAUUAGGCUUCCCACAACUUUUACUCCGCUCAGUGAUCAAAGAAAUGCUUGGCUGGACUGAUGCCUCACAGUCCAUCAGAGCCAGUGAGGGAGUCUGGGAAGGAAACAGCUCCUCUUUUAUCUGCUUAAUAAAGUGAAAAUUAAGAAAAUGCCAGAGAGGUGAAUUCUGUGUUAGUGGGCGCCUGUUCAGUCCUCAGCACCAUUAAAGAAACUCUGCAUGUCAUCCAAGAGAUGAAGGUCAGGAAUUGCUUUAAAGUCACAAAAUAGCUCAAAUAACUGUCUGGAAAUAGGCAGUUGAUUGAAGCCUGAUUACUUACCUGUUGUGAAUUGGAAGACCAUAAAAAGAAAAAUCAGGAUUUUGCACAAACAUGUUCAGUAUUUGGAUUACUGAACACAAGUAAAUUCAGCUCUGUUUUGUGUUCUGUUUCCUCUCUGUGCUCUGGUGUUUUGUGCAUAUACCCCACAUCCAGCCAGAGCUGCCCAGAUGUGUGUGAAUGAACUGAGUUCUGAUCCAACAUGCAAAGACCGAGCAUUUGCAUGUUAGACAGAGACAGACCUGCCAAUCCAGCUCCCAGUGCUUCCAGGGUGCUGGUUUGAUAUUUACUAUUAUGAAGGGCAAAGCUUGGGAACACUGAAAGGAGCACACAGCCAGAAAACUUAACAGGAGGCUUCUGGCAUGGUUUCAACUGGUUUUGUUUAAACUGGUGACUUUUAAAAGCAGCCUUGUGCCAUGGCUUGUCACAUCUAAGUGUGAUUGAAGGAGCUGAUCCUGCACACCAAGAGGCUCUCACUCCACUGGGAUAAGGCAGUACCAAUACCUGCAGUUAGCAGGGUUAUUUGUAUGAUCAAGGCUCCUUGGAUGGGUUUGCAGGAUCAUCAACUAAGAGGGACAUUGAGCAGUGCCAGCUGCAGGGAGUAGCACUGGCAGGAGCACUGAUAACAGCAGCAAAAAUGGAUCAGAAACUGGCCUGGAAAUGUUCCUAAGAACACAACCCCAACACCAGCAUGGCCCUGAGAUGAGGGGUAACACACACCCCAGCUGGGCUUCAACCCCACCCUGGGAUGUUCUUCACCAUCCCAAACCUGAGAUGUUUUUACCAUCCCAAACCUGAGAUGUUUUUACCAUCCCCAAACUGAGAUGUUCUUCACCAUCCCCAGCCUGAGAUGUUUUUACCAUCCCCAAACUGAGAUGUUCUUCACCAUCCCCAGCCUGAGAUGUUUUUACCAUCCCCACCCUGAGAUGUUUUUACCAUCCUAAACCUGAGAUGUUUUUCCAUCCCCACCCUGAGAUGUUCUUUAUCACCCAUGCACACGUCCCACUGCACAAUGGGAUCAAAGCAGCCCAGGGGCUGGAUUAGCACAGAAACACAAUCCCAGUAAUUUCCUCCCACUCUGAUAACUUCAUCUGGAUGCUAGAGGUAAUGCACUGCAUUUGGGGAGCUGUGAUCUGUACGGUCACCAAACUUUGAGGAUUAUUAAAUCAGCUAAAAGUCAUUAUAAACACACUUACAGUGCAGUUUCAAGUUGGUUUUAUAAAUCUCUGAAGUUAACACAGUAAGAAAUACUGCAGAGCCAAAAUUUCCCUUUUCUGAAGAUUAAUCACACAAUUAUAAUGUCCCUUCCUAGAAAAUCUUAACCAAGUCUGGCAAAAGUACAGUUUGAAAUGUGAUUUCUAGUAAUGCAUGAUCUUAGCUUAUUUAUAAAGAGGCAUGGACUAUUCUGUACAGCUUAAUAAAAAGCACAUUAAAAUACAGUAAAAACUUAAUUCAAGCUCAAUUCCUUCAUAUCAAGUAAAUAAAUCUGAAAAAAGGGACUGUGAAAAGAGACAAGGAACAUUUGUAUUAAUAAAAUCAAGAAAAACAAUUAUUUUAAAGAGUCUUCCCUGCUCCCUGUGAAAUUAAAUAUAUCCUUGGAUUACUUAAACAAGUGCUUUGUAUGUGCAUUUAUGUAUUGUAUCCACAGUUCUCUGUAAUUAAAAAGUCAGACAAUAAAUUGGAAAUAAAUAAA